UGCAGCCUGCGGAAAGGGGCGGUGACGGACCACUGUCAGUCUCAUACCUUAUAUGGAAAUUGGACUAUUACAUUCCGGAAAUGAAGGGGGCGCUAUUUUCACAGUCACUAGUAUAAAUACCUUAAAGAAGCGGGGUAAGAAGUUUGAGAGGUUUCACCACUGACAUUUGCCACGCGAUCCACAAUGCAAAAACCAGGAAGUCAGCAAAAGAUGCACGUAUCAAUUUGUAACACUGGGAUCGGAGCUAAAAUUGUUCCGUACUGCAUGAACAACAAGUACUACUGUCCCCUUUGCUCAUACAGUGCGGAUGAGUCUUACAAGGUUAAGAACCACAUUGCAAGAACUGCUGUGGUUCAACAUAACGAAUUCCAUAUCUUCAGAUGUGGCCUACCAUGUAGAGACACCACUCACUUCCAUUGUCCUUACUGUUUUUCCACCAUUGACAGAAGGGACAGGUUUGUUAAUCAUUUGGUUAAUCACAGAAUGACUUUUCACAUGGUGUCCAGCUGUGCAGCAGCCCAGCCACCUGUCCACCUACCAGCUACAGACAUCCAGGCUACACAGGCGCCUGUCCGUCCAGCAGCUACAGACAUCCAGGCUACACAGGCGCCUGUCCGUCCAGCAGCUACAGACAUCCAGGCUACACAGGCGCCUGUCCGUCCAGCAGCUACAGACAUCCAGGCUACACAGGCGCCUGUCCGUCCAGCAGCUACAGACAUCCAGGCUACACAGGCGCCUGUCCGUCCAGCAGCUACAGACAUCCAGGCUACACAGGCGCCUGUCCGCUCAGAAGAUAUGAUUACAUGUGAAAUGUGCAAUCUGCGCCUGAGAAAAAAGAAUCUUCGUAUUCAUUUGAAAAGAAAACACCAUGAAAAAGUGGAGCUGAUUUCACAAAAUCAUCAUUUAAGGAGUCAGUGUGUGGAUGCAAAAAAAGGUGUUUUUGCUGUUCAGAAAUCCUUUUGUGGUCCAUCAAAACCUAUACAUGUAAUCAAAAACACCUGGUCACAAUUUCACAGAUCAGAGUGUGAGCUUGACAGGUGUAAUGUGAAUGCACAAUUUGCCAAGCGAAGUGGGAUUUUGCCUUUUGAGUGUGAACACAUUCAAUCAUUACGCUUUUGUCCACGCGCCACAGACUCAGAAGGACCUCUGUCUGAAACUACCCUCAACAUCCUGGUUGACAACUUAUGGUUCAGUGUUAAAAGAAAAGAAGAACUUUUAAAAAAUCAGCAAGAGGCGCUAUCAAGUAAUACGCCGUUUUCAGUUCUUCUUUUUGGCAGUGGGACAGACACAACUUUUCACGUGUCUAUCUUUGAACCAAAAAUGGCAUUUUUCAGCAGACUUGGAAGGGUGAUUGUCACUUACGACAAAGGAAAAAAUACCUGGCAUUGUGCAUGUACAGAGGGCAAAAGGUCCUGUACGCACAAGGCUACGGCAAAGUGGCAUCUUUUUGAAAAAAUGCCAGACAUGUUCAAAGCAGCAGUACAUUCAGAGGAGGAUGUUAUGUGUGGGACAACAGUAUCAGAAUGUCAGGAGGAAAGUGGUUCCAUUACUGAUGAUGCAGCAGAGAGGAUAAUCAAGUAUUUGAUUUACCACAAGAAAAUACCUGCUGAUCUUCCUGACAGUCUUAUCACCAGAAGUAGAGACGCCAAGUCUCUCAAUGGGUUCCCCAAACAUCUGAUCCCAUCAGAGACUGAAUGCACAGAAUGUGGACAGCACGCCAGUCUUGGUGACCCUCAGUUGUUGUCUUCCACUGCUAAAAUAGUGACUCUGACAGGAGUAGUUAAAGGUAUAUCAACAUACAGGAAGACUUGCCCCAACUGUUCGAUGGUUUACCGAUAUCAAGACUGGGAAGAUGGUAUUCACAACUUCAACGAUCACUUGCUGCUGUCCAUACAUUUUUGUCUGGUACUGAGGAAUGCAUUGCAGACUCACACUGCUGUAAGUCGCAUAAUCGAAACUAUCGAAUACACAGAAGGAGAGAACUUUCCUUUCAAGGAUCGAAUCCUGCAGGCAUAUCUGUCGUUUGAAGGUCUAAGUGACCAUGAUUACCAAUACUCAUGUGAUUCAUGUGGGUAUCAUCCUGCAAUUGUUGUCAUGGAUCUACAUAAGAAAGGUGUUUUCAGCAUGCCAGUUAGUGAAAUACCAAACCCACCUCAGCAAUAUAAUGGCGAAGUUAAUGCGCGCUCAUUUUGGGAAGCGGUUACUAUGGAAGUGAUUAGCCGUGGACUUUAUCCACCUGGCUGCAAGAAUCCUUUUGUUGUAAAGCCUACUUAUCACAACUGGUCCCCCUGGAUUGGACCACAGACAAGACGAUCUGACAUUUUGAUCAACACAGAGAGUGAAAAAGUCCACUUGCCUGAUUCCGACAGUGAUGUAGACCAGUUUCUCACAGAAGAGCGGCUUGCAGAUGAGGUUCUCAAUCUCAAGCUACCUGAGAUCAGGAGACUCUGCAGUCAAUGUGGAAUUGACAGCAGAGGUUCUAAGAUGGAUCUUGUGCUCCGUCUGCGGGACAAAAUGGCUUCUAGAGCCACAUAUAACAAGGUUUUUGAGAAAGUGUGGGGUGCCUCUGGUGGAUGGGCUGUAAUCACUUGUCCCUGUGGCAUUAUUUAUUCUGUAAAGUUUAACCUGAGAGCGGAGAGCCCUAGAGACUUUGCAGACCUUCUUUUAUCCUGGAAGUUUUUUCCCAAUAUUACAGUGUAUGACUACCCCAGGGGAUUGGUAAGUCAUCUAAAGAAGAGGUGUGCUAAGGAUACCCCAUUUACCAUCCACGAUGGUAGAUUGGUUGAGGCCACCCCUGAAAACAUAAGACAAGCUACUGAAAAAAAACUUGCUGUAAACUUACCCUGGUUGAAGCACAGGAAAGAACCAGAAGACAAGGGAGGGCAUCCUGUCACUGGCUCAUUAGAGCAUUAUUGUCUGAGUGACGUUUUCCACCAAGGCAAUAGUAAGGAUGAGAAGGAUGUCUUGCGGAAGAUUGAGAUGGUUCCGGAACUGGCAGGAAGAUUAAACAGCCAGUGUGCAGAGCAACUAUUUGCAGGCAUGAGGAAAAAUAACUACUUCCUGAAUAUGCUCAACCCAUCCACGCACAUCUUUCUGCAAAGAAACAUCCUCCACCAUUUCAAUCUUAGGAAGAACACAAAAACCAAACAAAACAUUCUAAAAGUUGCGGGGCCGCAUGCAAAUUUGGUCCUAGACAAAAAUGGAUGCAUCAUAAUGGGCUGUGAGAAAAACCAGCAACAUGCUUGCAGUUUGGAAGCCAGCGUUAUUCAAACUCACCAAUGUUCUCUUGAUGACUCUUUGACAAGCUUACAAACAACUGGAGCAAAUAAAUUCACCUGGACUCAAAAGCCUAAUAACACAGAAAUUACUUUGCUUGCUCAAGUAUUGGACCAAACCAGAGAUCCAGCUGAAUAUGUUGCUUGUGUUGAUGGGCAGGUCCUCACCAGAGGAGACAUGUUCACUCUUGGUUUAUCGCAAGACAUGAAUGGGCAGGUGAGUUUAAAUAUUUUUCAAGCCAUAUCAGUGUUAAAGUUGUUUUUUAUGUUGUUAAAAUAUGACUGCUACAAUUCUUCAAAGAUUCUGAACUCCUGUCUGAAAGUUGUUGAAAGAAUGUGCAUCAACAAGGGCAUCAAAGUUUUUGCAGGAAACAGUCAUGUAGUCCACACCUGGUUUCCACCUCUUUCCCUUGACCCAGCACAACACCUACCACCGCAGGCACAAGAUCUGGACUGGGUUCUGAUUCCUGUGUGGCAUCCUGGACAUUGGACACUAUGCAGAAGUCUGUCUUCAGAUGUCAUCUGGUCCAUGGACAGAAUUUGUUGGCAACGAUGUUGAGGGAUUGCCGAAACAAGGACUGUCCAACAACUGUGGAAUGUUUGUAGUGAUGUAUGCACUGUACUUUGUGAUGGGAGCAUCAUUUGAUUUCAGCGAGGUAAAGAAAAAGAUGAGAGUCUAUUAUUUCUGUUUGAUAUUUCAUUAAAUUUCAACCUGUGAUGUACACAGAAUGAUAUGAUGACAAUACGAAGAUGGUGGUCUCUCACUCUCUUGACAAACUUCCCUGUGAAGUCCAGAGAAGAACUGCAAAAGGAGAGAAAGCGGAAAA